GACGUAGGGCGCAAGCGUUGUCCGGAUUUAUUGGGCGUAAAGAGCUCGUAGGCGGUUUCGUAAGUCGGAUGUGAAAACUCCAGGCUCAACUUGGAGACGCCAUUCGAUACUGCGAUGACUUGAGUCCGGUAGGGGAGUGUGGAAUUCCUGGUGUAGCGGUGAAAUGCGCAGAUAUCAGGAGGAACACCGGUGGCGAAGGCGGGUCUUGCCUGGCCGUGAU
rnacentral:rRNA from 1 species